rnacentral:lncRNA from 1 species
AUUCUGCAAAACGUGAGCCCAACAGGAAGCUGCCUACAAAUUCAGGUAGCUUUUCUGCAUCUAAAAGAGGUCUUAAAGAUACUUUCAGAGAAAUGCCAGCAAAAGCUAUAGUCAUUUGGGGAAGAACAAGUCUGGAAGAAAAAUACACAGUGGACUAGGACCAAGAGGCUCCCCCAUAUUGUACGGUUUCAGUGGUAUUCAUUUCUACUGGAUGGAAGGAGAAAGAGCAUAGAGAAACACAUGCGGAAAGGCGUAAUGGGCCAGACUAAAAGUGGCUUGGAUUUUUCCCUUUCUCAGAAGAACUCUGUCACACGGCCACCCCUAAUUUCAAGGAAGGGGGCAGGGUGUAGCUGUUGAGCCAGUAAGAAGAUGAAGCAGAUUUCAGUGAACAAGAAGAAUCAGCCUCUGCACACUGUGUGAUUUUGAUAUACAACUGGUACAUGGUUGAAAACUCACAGGUGAACUAUAAUUUUUGAGUCAAAAUAAUCUAGGUCCCAAACCUAGUCACCUCACAGAUGUCUGACCUUAGGCAAGAUAUCUCCCCUCUCUAUGCCUCAAUCUUUUCUGUUCUUUUUAAGUGAGAAUUUUUAAAUCUGACAUCUUAAGAUUUUUAUGAGAUUGAAAUAAGAUAAUAUGUUUAAAAUCAUUAGAAUACUCGCUGGCACUUAAUGAAUAGUCAUAAAUAUUUUAUUCUAACUGCAUUGUUGGUUUGGAAGGAAAGGGAAACAAGUUCUGCUACUUGAGCUGAGAAAUCAGAUGCAGCAGUAUCAGAAUAAAUAUACUAUUUCAACUGAAUUAUUGGAUUGAGGAGGUGUGAAAAAGCAGAAUUUUAACACAACAGAAGAUUUUUUGCUCUUGUAAGAGAUACUGGGCAAGUGUUCCAGUUAGUGGGCAGCUCUCCUCCAGGUGGUCAUUCUGAGAUCCAGUCUCUUUUUAUCUGGUGGCUCUGCCAUACCCUGGGGCUUUAUCACCAUCUUAUCCAGUGUAGCAAGACACACUGGUGAUAGAGUAUGUAAUGUGGUCUGAGAGUUAGAUGUCUCAAUAACAGAAUAUUUGAUGUUCACAGAAAGAAAAAUUACUCUGAGAAUAAAGCAAAAGAAAUCUUAAGAUAUUAAGGGAUUGAAUAUGUUGGUAGAGCAGUUCUCAAGCUGAGAUUUCAAUAAUCUUGUUAUCAUGUAUUUCAAUUCAGGGAGUUUGAUAUACUUUUAGAUUUGACUUUGCCACAUAUAAGUCUGUACCACUACACCUAAGGAAGUCCAAGAGUACUCAGGUCCAGAAGUGGACCUGAGCUGUGCAGUACUUAUCAUUUGAAUCCAGUGAUACCAUGAAGGAUGAGCUGAAUUCUGUAUAGUUAGGAGGAUUAAUUUAUGAGUCGUUCUGAAGUCUGGAUUAGUAUGAGGACAUUGUCUAAUCAAUGAAGUUAUCUAUUAGAAGCAGAGAAUGAUCCUUGUUCAGCACUUCCUGAAGGUGAGUUAUGUACAGACUUGUUUUCCAAUAAUUUCCACUAGGCCACAAGAAUAUAUCUAUGCUCUUCCUGCCUUCAGAUUCCAACUGGAGGAAUUUAUUCCUAAUCAAAAUAACUAAGAGGAAAAUAUGUCCCUGUGUGCCCCAUCUUCUUGGUUUCUCUACCAUUUUCCAGCUUUCCUGGUUUCAAACCCCGUUUCCCCUACCCCCUUGGCAGACUCUUACACUUUUGGUGCUGUCCUCCCAAAUCAGCAUCUGAGAACAAGACUCCCUCCAUGUGACUUUCCUGAUUCCACUCAAGUUUACCCCUUAGACCUUGCCCUAGUUAUGAACUCUUGCUGACCUGAUAAACCUAUCAGGCCUGCCCCCCCUUCCCCCAUGGGCUUCAUUUACAAUGGUGGUGGUCAAUGUUCUCACCUCAGUAGGUCCCCUGCUUCUUCUGAACACUUGCCUUGGCUAGAUCAUCUAUCAGGGAGGUGGGAGGAAGAGGACAUUGGGGGUACCUUCCAUGUGCCAGUCCCACAGGCAUCAUUUCAUUUAUUACCUUGGUGCCCCUGGGAAAUUACUUGAGCACUGCAACUUCCUUUUCUACUUCUGCGAAAUGAAGAUGAUGACAAGUUCCCAGGAUCAAAUCAUAGCCACUGUCUAUUUAGGUCCUCACUAUGUGGCUGGGUCUCUGUUUAGUGUUAGAUGUACUAUCUAAUUUAAGCCCUAUAACAUCCCUAGGAAGUAGGUCUUAUAGCAUGCCCAUAUUUGUAGAUGAGGAAAUUGAGACAAGGGAAGGUUAGGCGACUCAAUCAAUUUGGGCAUAGUGCUUGGAUCUUCAGCGUUUCCAGGUAAUAUUGACUCAGUUGAUUUCCUUGCCUCUGAAAGUAUAGUGACAAUAGAAAAUUUUUAUGACUAGAGGCACCUUUAGCACAAAUAUCAUAGUCCCAUUAUGUGCUCUCUUCAGCAACACUUCUGUGGCGGCUCUUUGCCACAUGAGCCCACUUUACCCAAAACCAAGUAACACAAACUUAAAUCUGACCUAGUUUAAUAAAAAUGUGGGUUGUGGUUCAAUUGUUCAGUAAUUGAUUACUAAGAAUUUAAACAGUGUUUAACAACCACGAUAAAUGCAGUCUUUCUUUUGUGGUCUCUCUCAGAAACACUGCUAUUUCUCACUGUUUUAUACACACGGUAACUCCUUCCAAAUAACCUGCAAAUGCAUAGGAGUUACAUUCCCCCAAACACCAUAUCUCAAACGGUGUGGCUUUAAAGAGGGGUCAUGGAAUGGAUCUCAAGAUGAUGUUCCAGAUAACUCAAGCCCUAAAUGUUAUCCCUCAUGUUUGUUGUCUACAGUUUACUGGCAGUGGCCAGUAAACUGAAGCCCUGAUUCUGCUCCAAAAUAAUCUAUACUACUUACUUCCCUUUCAACAAGUAGACAAACUCAAGUGGAGAGAAAAGCAGCCUGAGCACAGGAGUGCUGGUAUCAAGAGGACAGUCAGACCAGUCAGCUGACACCCACUGGCUGUGGUUCCUACCACCACUUGCGCUACGUAGCUGAAGUGAGAAGAAUUCGCGGUGUUUGGUUUCUUUCCCGUUAUUCAACUGAAAGCAGCCAAGUGCGUAUCACAAGUGGCCUCCUCGCCAAAUUCAGUGACCUCUUUUUUCAAUCUCAUUCAGCUUUGUAUCCAGUCUGCCCACCAAUUGUUCACUAAAAUGGUAGACUCUGCAGUUUCUAUUCAGCACACAGGCCUUCCACCUGGGAAAGUCCGGCUUAGCGAUGACAUUUCCGUCCUGCUCACAAAGUUACCCAUUGGCUCUUGUGUGUUUCAGAGGGAUGUUUUCUAAAGCUGAGCAUUAUUUGGAAAACAAAAGUGAUGAGCCAACUAACCCACAUGUCAUACCGAAAUCUUAGAAGGAAAUUACUGCCUACAAGACACAUAGACACAUACACACAACCGCUUUUUAAAAUAUUUUUGCAUUUCACUGAGUUCUAUUAAAUAGCUUCAGAAUGUUUGAAACAUACUAGAAAUUCCUGAGAAAUAUUUGUUUCAAUAAAUUUCCUAUAGACAUGUUUGGGAAGUAAAAAUGUUUUCUUCUAUUCAUUUACAUAUUCACACAGUAAACAUGCAGUGAAGUCUAUCCUCAAUACCUAGCACUCGGCUUAUAAUAAUGAAAAACCUAGGUUCCUGCACUCAAGGACUUUAAUUUAGUGAAGGACAGAACCACAUGUAAAUAGCUACAAUUCAAAGAGUAAAGGUGAUCAGAGAAAUACAAAAUACUUGGGAUGAAAGAGAAAGAAGUGUCUCACUACCAGGCUCUUUGAAGAUCAACAGAGAAAGGUGUUGGUGACCUGCAUCUUGACCUGAAUCUUCAUGGAUUGGAAAGAAUUUAUAAAGGGGAGAACAGAAAAGACUAACAUUUCAGUAGAGGGAAUAAAGCCUGGAGGUAUAAAAGAGCAUGGUAAAUUUAUGAUCCCAUACACUGGGCCAACAGGUAUCUACUCCCACUGCAUGUUGUUAAAGAGUCUGCUUGAGAGCUGCAGGAUCUCUCAGCGGAAAAGGGUGAUUUUCAUCUAACAGCAUCUGCUGAGUACAUUCAUCUAUCAGUGGAGAGGCAAGGCAGCAAAGCUGGAGGCCAUGUCUGGGAGGCAUGCAACUCUGUUGCUCAUCCACAUGAGGUCAUAAAUAUAACUGUGUGAAUUUCAACAUUUCUUAUUUUUAUCUUUCUUCCACAAAGAAACCUAGAGUGCUCAGAAAUAAUGUUUGGAAUGUUGGAAAUGAGUACAAAUACUGACUAUGGAUUUGGGACUGGCAACUUCUGGACUCCCCAUUUCCACUGCUGAUAAUGGCUUUUCACCACACAUGCUUUCCAGCAAUGUUUUUGAAGCUGAGCCCAAGAGGUCUUUUGGCUAUACUUCCAAAGUUUUCACAGAUAGCCAAGCAUGCGAACACCACAUUCACCGCCCCUGUGCAACUGGAGCAACUUCAUAUGCUUCACACAUCAACCUCCUGUUUCAAACUAUAUUUAAAGGGUCCGCUUCAUGCACCUCCUUCGGGUUUUUAAAACCACUUAGGUUUCUGGAAUCACAGUUCUGCUCUAAAUAAUAGUGACCACCCUGAGCUAUAUUUAUUGUGUUACUCUAUGCCAGAGCACUAUUUGUGCAGUAGAAUUUCUUCUAUUAUGAAGUAGAGAAGACGUGCUUUCAUCCUUGCAGGUUAAGUGUGAUGGUGAAUAAGAUAAAGGCUAAAUAUAUUUAGAGAUAAACACUACAUAUUAAAUGUUAAAACCACACAUCAAUAGACUUCAUUUUAGAUUGUGGUUUCAGGGUGUCAGGCUAUCUUUUGGCUUAGCUGACUAAUCUACCCCUUUGGUAAGAUUGGUUCUUCUAUUUUUCCUGCAGAGAGAAGAGGUGUAAAGACAAGAUAUUCUUUAGCUUAUGCACUCAUCCAUCAUUUUUUUAAGAGACUCCUCUGAUUACUGUGUGGAGAACAGACCAGGUGGGGAAUGACUGGCAAUGUUGGGAGUCUAUUUCGGCAGCUAGUGCUAUCACCCAGUCAACAGGUGAAAACCCACGUUGCAAAGCAAAUUUAUUUCUACAAGUUACAGAAGUACACAGGUCUCACAUGGAUCCCUAAUGGAUCUACUAUGCCAUACCAAAGCGGGGGGGCGGGGGAGGCAUAGUGCAGCACUUGACUCUUGGUUCAAAUUUCAGCUCUGGCCAUUGUGGGACCAUGAUCCUUACAUCUUGAUUUCUAGCUUCUUAGAACUAUGUUUUGCCAUUUUUAAAAAGAGGCUAAAAGUAGUACCUACCACAGAGGAUUGUCAAAAAUACAGAAGUAAGUAUAUGUGAAGUGUUUAGAAUAGUUCCCACCAGGCAGUAAGUUCCAACUAUCUUUUUGCCUAGAACACACUCACACACACAAAAAGCAUCUAAAUGGGGCAAUGCGGUUUGUGACCCCAAGAGGGCAGCAAAGGAAUAAGAAUGGAGGUGGAAGUACACAAAACCAAAUUCAUGUAAAUUAUCAAAGAAGACGUACUGUCUGAUGAGGAAACAAACAAACAAGCAAACAAACAGGAAGAAGGCUUCUAUGAAUCCUGCAAAAUGGAGGCUGAGCUCAGGGCCACUUAGAGCCUGACAUUCGCUAACAGUUCAAGUGUAGUAAAAAAUCAGUGACUCGAGGAACGAGAAGGAUGCAGACUUUCAUCUGGGAACACACUUCCAAGGUGGGCCACUCACCUCAGUUGAUACUGGCUGCUGACUGAGUGCUUAGCUGAGGCUGAGGGCCAAUGCCCUUACUUUCCCUCCAUGUGGACCUCUCUAUGUGACCUGGAUUUCCUUACAGAUGGUAGCUGGGAUCCUGUCUCUCAUUUCCACAAGCAAAGCAUCAGCAAGUCUUAACAGGUCUGGAGGCAAAGUACAUUCCAAAACUAAUCUGAUCUCAUUUCCACAGCUCCCACCUGAGUCCAAGUCAACAUGCUUCUCUCUCCAGAUUACAGCAAAGUCUCCUGAGAGGCUUCCACCCUUCCAAUUUAGCCCCACGUAAUCUAUUAUUUAUACUGGAGCCAGUGAAACCUGAUCAUGUCACAUUGCUCAUCUUUUUCUUUCUUUCUUUCCUUUUAGGGCUGCAUCUGUGGCACAUUCCCAGGCUAGGGGCUGAAUAGGAGCUGCAGCUACCGGCCUACACCAUAGCCACAGCAACACCAGAUCCAAAUGGCAUCUUUGAUCUACUCUGUAGCUUGUGACAAUGCUGGAUCCUAACCCACUGAGUGAGGCCAGGAAUUGAACCCGCAUCCUCACAGAUACUAUAAUGGGUUCUUAAUCCAUUGGGCCACAAAGGGAACUCCUCACACUGCUCAUCUAAAAACCAUCUGAUGGCUUCCUAUCAUCAUUACACUAAAUGAUGAUUAUCAUCAUCAGCUCUAAUGGUGGCCUGUCUGUAUGCUGACCCCUGUUUCUCCUUCUCUUUUCAUCUUCAGCCUUCUCUCCACCACAUGCACACUGACCUUCUUUCUCUAAUUCCAGUAGUUGAGGGAUGUUUCCAUUUCAGGGCCUUCUGUUCCCAAAUCUCUUCAUACCUGCUCUAUCCCAUUGUUCACACCUCAGCUUGGAUACUACCUCCUGGGUCAUCCCACAUAAAUAAGUACUUCCUAUCCCUUAACCCUGCUGUAUUUUUAUCAUACUUAUUAUUGAAAUUGUUAUUUAUAUAUUUGAUUCCUUGCUCGUGGUCUUCUUCCAGAAUAUAAAUACCUCAUAGAUGGGGGUUUGAAUUUUGUUCAUCGCUUUUAUUAACAGCACUUAGAUCCAUUUAAUAAAGCUAUGUUGAUCACUGAAUAGAGAAUUAAAAAAAAAAAAGAAAGAAAACAGACUCCUUCUGGCCUUUCUGAUUGGAAGUGGCAUAAACUAAGCUCUGCUUUCACUAUAAUGCAAACAUGUCUGUGCUCCCUCUUAGCUAUGGGCAAUCCUUUCCUAGGAUCCUGUGGUUUUUAUAGAAUAGUUGGGGACGAGUGGUUGUUUCAAUGUGUACUCUUCAAGGGGUUUCGGCUUGAUGCUGGUUAUCUGCACUACUGUGGUUCAGCUAUGUUUGGGCUUGUUAGGUGAGUUGGUGGUGACAGGCCUCUCAGAGUUCAAUUCUAAUGAAGUUUUUGGUUUUGAAUGGCUGACUACAAAGAAGACUGUGGUUGGGGUGAGUGGGGGAAGUAGGGGGUGGAGAUAGGAAGGGAAUGCGAAGGUGUAAUGGCUAAGUGAACAUGCUGUCACUCUUCUGGGCUGCUCACCACAAUUGCACAGGCUGCCUACAUUUGGGGAAUCCCCCCUCCUGGCAUCUAGGACACUGGGAUACACUAUAGGCCCCAACAAACACAUACACCUGAGCAAGGUUUUGAAUCAUUUCAGAGAAACAAGUGCCACCUGGGGUCUACUCUGGUGAGAAAGGCAACAGGUAAGUCCAAUUCUCAGAGGGAGGGCUGGCUAAGGUCACACACCAGCCAAGACCCAGCACCAGCAGAGGCAACAGAGUAGUUUCUAGCAGAGCCAUUCUUUAGUGUGAUUCUGGGCACUGAUCCUGGCCGAGGAGCCUCCCUGUCUGGUUUCUAGCUCCCUGGGAAAUCCUAUAUUCGUUAAUAAAUUCCUUUUCUACUCAUACUAUUUUUCAAUUAGCUGCAACUGAGAACUCUGACCAGAACAGGUGGGGUGUUUAUUAUGAGUCUAACCCAGGCACCAGGCCUGACACAUCUGGAGAAAGGAGCUAGAAGCCCAAAAUGGCAGAAAUUAUUUUAAUGAGAAAUUUCAUGAGAAUCAGAAUCUGAAGAGCAAUGCUUUAUUCUCCCAUGUGACAGAAUUCUACAUCAAGCAGGAAAAUGAGCCUUCUCCUACUUUUCCCUGGAACACACAGAAUCCUGGCACCAGGAAGAACCCAGAGAAAUAGUCUUCAAACAACUUUUAGAAGUUCUAUUCUUUUUUUAAUGAAUUCCAACACAGAAACAAGUCCAGCUGGAACCAGCUGAGGUGGGACUUGGUACCUCAACCAUGUCACUGGGGUGUCCUUACAGAUCCCUAGACUACUUUGUGAUCAAUCUCCAGGACUCAAUGGUAGUGUGAGGCAGGAGGCCCACAGAGUCUAUGACACCCAGGAGACCAGGAGAAUCUCCUGAGACAACACCUUGCAGAUGCAUGCCAGAAAGGCAGCAGUCCCAGGUAAGCAGAUUUAUUUCUGAGCACAUCACCUGAGGGUUCCCAUAAGGCUGGUGGGGAGCCCAUCAGGCCUUGUUUCAGGGACUCCAGACCUUGCAUUAAGAUGUGAGGACAGGAGUUCUCGUCGUGGCUCAGUGGUUAACGAACCCAACUAGUAACCGUGAGGAUGCAGCUUCUAUCCCGGACCUUGCUCAGUGGGUUAAGGACCUGGCAUUGCCAUGAGCUGUGGUGGAGGUCGCAGAUGCGGCUUGGAUCCCACAUUGCUGUGGCUGUGGCAUAGGCUGGCAGCUGCAGCUCCAAUUUGACCCCUAGCCUGGGAACAUCCACAUGCUGUGUGUGCAGCCCUAAAAAGACAAAAGACAAAAAAAAAAAAAAAAAAGU